GCCUCGAUAGCUCAGCCCGGUAGAGCGGCUGCCUCGUAAGCAGCAGGCCGCGGGGUCAAAGCCCGCUCGAGGCUCCA
rnacentral:tRNA from 1 species